UACGAGGGGGGCAAGGGUUGUUCGGAUUUAUUGGGCGUAAAGGGUGGGUAGGCGGUUUGGCAAGUCUUGUGUGAAAUCUUCGGGCUCAACCCGAAGCCUGCAUAAGAAACUGCCGGGCUUGAGUAUGGGAGAGGUGAGUGGAAUUUCCGGUGUAGCGGUGAAAUGCGUAGAUAUCGGAAGGAACACCUGUGGCGAAAGCGGCUCACUGGACCAUAACUGACGCUGAGGCACGAAAGCUAGGGGAGCAAACAGG
rnacentral:rRNA from 1 species